CAAGGAUGGUCUGCGGGUGUGCGACUGGGAGACAAAGGAGACCUCUGACUGAGAUCGCGACACAGAUGGAUGAAAGGACUAUUGAGAUGUCCAAUUACUUCAACAAAAGACCACUCAUGCAGAUUUAGGCCUAAGAAAUGGAACAGGAAGAACCAGUGGAAUGGCUGCCCCUGAUGUCAGUUACUCAAGUAAAAAAAACGGAUCAACAGUAAUCCAGACUGUAAGGAGAGGCUGGGGAAACCAUUCAUGUGCACUGGACAAAUGAUGUGAUUACAAAGACUGAACAUAUGCCAGAAUUUGCCCUACUGAGUUCUCCACAGCGCAGGUUGAGCGACUCAUUUUCCUGACAUCACACAGAGCCAUAACACUGGACUGAGUGAAGGCAGGAGGAUUUCCCAGGAAGAGCAAAGGACGUGGCCACCUGAUGGGAAUUUCUGAAGAGCUGCAGGAUCUCAAUAGUUUAUCCACACUGCUUUGACCCUCAGUUCUUCACUGCACAGGGAGGUACUGUGCUAUUGUGGGUUUCCAGGAAUAAUAAAAUUAUGAUUAAGAUACUCCUAUGCAUCCUUUGAUGCACACAACAUACUCUAAAGACUGUCAAUCGCUAUACAAGAGAGAAAACAUCCAGACUGACAUCAUGAAUGUAGUGCAUGGAGAUGGGGCAGGGGUGGUGUAUCCUGAUGGUUCAUAAAAUGAUGGCUUCUGAAGGAUGACUACCUGGCCAUGACUGCUCACCCUGCUACUUCUUCACCAUGUGACCUUAGGCAAAUUUAGCUUUUCUAUCCUCCAGUUUCCUCACAUGAAAAAUGAAGAUAACUAUUUCAUGGGUCUGUUGUAAAUAUUAAAUGGGACAAGUGUGGAGAGCCAUGCCACAUUCCCUCAGUGGACAUCAGUAAAAUCCCACUCAGGAAGAGUGGUGGCUGGCCAAAGUAACAAAUACGACCUGGCAUGGGACCAUGUGCAGACCUGACACUUCCACAGCAAUCACGGUUCUACAAUUCCUGGGGUUGGUACUAUAUUCAAAAUAACAGCCUGCGUGGCCAAAUCACCGAGUCCUUUCCCUGAUUGACAUGAAUAUGACAAUGAAACUGUUCUGUAACAUAAGAGAAUAAAGCUCUCAUGAGUUGUGCAUUAGCAGUAUUCAUUUCAUAUCUCCAGUGCCUUUUUUUUUUUCAGAGCUGAGGACUGAAC